rnacentral:rRNA from 1 species
UAACGGAUAUUGGGCAAUGGGCGUAAGCCUGACCCAGCGACGCCGCGUGUGGGAAGAAGGUCUUCGGAUCGUAAACCACUGUCAGGGGCUACCAAGCGACCGCGAGCAAUAUGCGCGGAAGUUGAGGAACCCCAGAGGAAGCCACGGCUAACUUCGUGCCAGCAGCCGCGGUAAGACGAAGGUGGCGAGCGUUGUUCGGAAUCACUGGGCUUAAAGAGCACGUAGGCGGGCUAUCAAGCACCUUGUGAAAUCCCCCGGCUCAACCGGGGAACCGCUGGGUGAACGGAUAGCCUUGAGUGUGGAAGAGGGUCGUGGAAUUCCCAGUGUAGAGGUGAAAUUCGUAGAUAUUGGGAAGAACACCGGUGGCGAAGGCGGCGACCUGGUCCAUUACUGACGCUGAGGCGCGAAAGCGUGGGGAGCAAACAGG